GGAUGUGAGGGCAAUCUGGCUGUGUCAUCUGUCACCUCACUGAUCACCAGGGUUGGUUCAGCUGAUCUGGGUGGUUAUGUGGGUAUUCACUUCCCCCCUCACUGUGCCAGGUGCAUCCCUCCUGAAGCUGUAGUCUCGGCUGAAGAGGACGACCACCACUGCUAGAAGAGGACCAUUUCCUUGGUCAAGGGUAUAUGGGUAGCUGUGCUCCCCUGGUAGAACUUCUAAAUAAGCUCUCAAAAAUGCUAUCAACCCUUUGAUAGAAGUUUUAAGACAAUUUGACAUUUUAAGUACUCUU
rnacentral:snRNA from 1 species